GGACUCGGGGAAGUGACGCAUCAGGGGUGGGAACUGCUGUCUUGCUAGUAUGUCUGCGCUGACCCGCCUGGUACCAUUCAGUCGCGUCGGAAGCCGUCUGCUCCUGGGCUGCCGCGCGCGGGCGGCUGGAGACGGUGGAGUCCGUCAGUGAGUGUCGGGUGGGGUUGAGGGCUCGGCCGGCUUGAACAGGCAGCGCUGUCAUCUGGACGGCGUCACCUUGAAGCAGUCGCCCGGGCCGUGCUGGCGGGGGUACUCCACCCCGGUACAGGGAGUUUCCCCAGCCUACCCAGUCCCAGGUGAUCCAGGCGGAGUUCUUAAGCUCAUUCAUGUGGUUCUGGAUUCUUUGGCGAUUUUGGCAUGACUCGGAUGCUGUGCUGGGUCACUUUUCAUAUCCAGAUCCUUCGAAGUGGACAGAUGAAGAACUGGGGAUCCCUCCUGAUGAUGAGGACUGAAAGUGUAAACUCUUCUCUGUACAAGUAGGAGCAAGGUGAGACAUUUCAAGAAAUGACAGACCUCAUUAAAGGUGUAAAUUAAAGUGGCUUUCCAAAACCGA